rnacentral:misc_RNA from 1 species
AAGUCGUAACAAGGUUUCCGCAGGUGAACCUGCGGAAGGAUCAUUAAUUGAGAUCAUGCCCUUGGGGUAGACCUCCCACCCCCUGUUUCCGUACCCCGUUGCUUUUGGGCGGUCCCCGUCGCAAGACCGGGGCCCGCCAGAGGACCUUUUAAAACCCGUAUUAUCAUUGUCGUCUGAGUACUAUACAAUAGUUAAA